UACGUAGGGUGCAAGCGUUGUCCGGAAUUAUUGGGCGUAAAGAGCUCGUAGGCGGUCUGUCGCGUCGGCUGUGAAAACCCGGAGCUCAACUCCGGGCCUGCAGUCGAUACGGGCAGACUGGAGUUCGGCAGGGGAGACUGGAAUUCCUGGUGUAGCGGUGAAAUGCGCAGAUAUCAGGAGGAACACCGAUGGCGAAGGCAGGUCUCUGGGCAUUAACUGACGCUGAGGAGCGAAAGCGUGGGGAGCGAACAGG
rnacentral:rRNA from 1 species